rnacentral:lncRNA from 1 species
AAACGGAUGCUGGUGGGGGAGAGUAGUUCGAUGGACUGUGUUCAGGCUGGUGGUGGACAUGAGUCACAUGGGGUGGCUGUUGGUACUGAUAUGACGGUGGUUGGUGUGGUGGGGGUGGUGGAAAUCCAGGUUGCUGAAAGUAAGAUGGUGGGGGUGGACCAUCAAAGCCAGGUUGGUGGAAGUAUGAUGAUGGAGGUGGCGGAGGAUAGGGUCCAACAAAGCCAGGUGGCUGCUGGUAGCUUGGUGGUGGAG